UAUGUCAUGACUUUUCCGAUGA
rnacentral:miRNA from 1 species